GGUCUGCCAGCAGCUGUUCAGCCUGAAGACAGAGUUGUCAUUGUGAAUAUAUAUCGGUCUUUUUUUUAUUGUUUGAUCAAUGUCAAAAUGAAGCUGCUACUAUUUGCCGUUCUCAUCUUCACCAAUUCCUCCGGUGGUGUAAAACUUCACCAGCCUCCGUUUAUAAUUAGCCGUGAAGGAGACCCCCAGGCUGUCACUUUGCAGUGUGAACAAGACGACGAACAAUACUUCUACAUGUACUGGUACAGACAAAGCAGCAGCAGCAGGGAAAUACAGCUAGUAGCAUAUUCUCCUGGUAAAGAUGUGUGCAGCAUUGAAGCUCCAUUCAACAAAUCCAAGUACAGCAUGACAAGGGCUGCAGUGCUUCAUUCCUCUGUGCAGAUACACCCUGUUGAGACUGGAGACUCAGCUGUGUAUUACUGUGCCUCCAGUAGAGCACGAUGGUUCAGAAAGCCUCAGCAGCUUAACAACAACCUCAAGAAGAAACCAGGAAGAGGUGACAGGGGGGAGGGAUGA